rnacentral:rRNA from 1 species
CCCACCUCCGUGCUCCCUUUCCCCCUCCGCAUCGCUCGAUCCAAAUCCUCCCUCUCCCUCGGUCUCGCCUCUCCUAUCGCGCGAUGUCGCUCGAUCCUCUCUAGGGUUCGCCGCCCGCCGUCGUCCCUCGCCGUCCUGCUCCGCUGUCGCCCCUCCCUCCACCUACCUCGCCCCUGCUCUAGGGUUCGCCUCCCGCCGCCGCCGCCCCCCGCCGCCCUGCUCCGUUGUUGCCCGUCCCUCCGCCUGCCUCGCCCCCUCCCCUACACUCACCCCUGCCCGAUCUGGAUCUGGAUGAGGUGUUGCCUCCCGUUCCUCUCAUCGCGUCCCUUGUGCCAGCCAUGGAAGAGGGGAGGAAGAAGGGGAGGGAGAGCAAAGAGGACCGCGGUGGCGAUGUGCCAACGUUGGCAGGACCAAGAUGUGUGAAUCAAGGAGUCCCUGCAUCUACCCGCGACCCUAGAAUAGCCGCUACCGCUAUGACCUUUCUCCAUGUCGUGAGCUUCGAAGAGUCUGGCGGCGCCAUCACGCCGGCCUCUGUCCAAGAGGUCAUCGCGCUCAACAGGCCCUCACUCCACGGCUCCGCCUGCGGAGGCCGUCGACGCCAUCGCAGGGUGCCGCUUUGAGGCCGGGGUUGAAGCUGCCACCGAGGAGGCCAUCUUGACGCAGAUGUUGCAGGCACUCCUGACGUGCAUGCGCUCCCCUGCGAUUAGUGACCAACACAUCUGCUCUGUCGUGAGCAUGUGCUUCGUGUCAUACAGGUCGCGGCCAAAGGCGAGCUCGUGCAGCGGUUCAGGUGCAUCCCAUAGGGGCAGCUCAAGUUUCUUUCAUAAUUCUAUUUGUUCUGAGUGCAUUGCAUAUUGAAGUAAACUGGAUGGGCUAAUCUUGAGUUCCUCCAUCAAGUUAUAUUACCUCGACAAAAAAAGGUGCAGGAAAACCAUAUAAAGCACUAUGGUGAGUCUAUCUCAAUUGAACUAGAACUCAAAUUGUAGCAAUUCCAAGCUUUUUUCUACAACUGCAAUUGGGUGGACUAUGGUAUGGGUCGGUUUAUUAGUUUGAAGGGAUUUUAAGUGACAACCUGCUACUUUUUCUACUGGUAGUGAAUUCAAAUUAAGUCUGAUGUCUCUAUCUAAUAUACUGAACCUGGAAGAUUUGUCUGAGGCCUCUAUCUAAUAUAUGAAGAAUUGGCUUUCUAUUAUGAACAUCGACCUGAACCUGGAAGAUUUGUCUAAUAUAUCAAGAAUUGUCUUUCUAUUCUCAACAUGGAACUGAACAUGAGAAAUUUACCUUACUGUUAACUGCAGUUUUGUCUCAUUGCCAAUAUAUCUGCAUAAGGUACAUCUAAGGAGGCCUUCUCCGACAAGGAGGCUGCGGGUCGAGGUCGUCGGCAGCGACAAUGCCGCCAGCCGCAAGCACCGCCGCGAGGACGACAAAAGUGAGCACUUUACCCCCGCCAGGUCGAUCGCGUCUUCCCCCUUCUUUGGGCACAAAUUAAACCUGUGCGCAACUCGGAUCUGGAUUUGUGUGAUUUUCAGCUCUGCUUGUUCGUUAGGGAUUUGUGGUUAGGUAAAGGGAGAGCAAGAUAAUGGAGAUAAUUUGAAUAAAUAAAAAAGUUUGGAUUUCGAGCUGUGCGCCUGUACUCUACUAUGUAAUCCAGGCGACUAAUUUGGAUGCAGCACAUCUGUCGCCACAUAUUUGGUUGUAGCAGUAGUGUUCAGCAGACUGCAUCAAUAUACCAUUGCUAAAAAGAUUUACUCCCUCCGUCCCAAAUUAGUUGACUCAGACUUGUCUAGAUAGACAUGUUUUAGUGUUAGAUACAUACGUGCCUAGACAAAUCUAAGACAACUAAUUUGAGACGGACGGAAGUAAUAGAGUAUUUUGUAUGCGAUUGGUCUGCAGAACAGGUGAGCUGCAUACUGGUUAAGGCCAGUUAUGUGUGAUUCGCGUUCCGUGUCUGUAUGUGUGACCCAGGCAGCA